rnacentral:misc_RNA from 1 species
GUAGGUGAACCUGCGGAAGGAUCAUUACAGAGUAUCAUGCCCUUCGGGGUAGAUCUCCACCCUUGAAUAACAUACCUUUGUUGCUUUGGCGGGCCGCUUCGGCUACUGGCUCCGGCUGGUGAGUGCCCGCCAAAGGAUCCCAAAACUCUGAAUAUUAGUGUCGUCUGAGUACUAUAUAAUAGUUAAAACUUUCAACAACGGAUCUCUUGGUUCUG